GAGAUAAAGGCAUGGACAAGUUUUUCUGCAUCUGACAGGUUUGGGAGGGGCAGAGUUUAGAGAUGUUUUUGAGAUGGUAGAAAGAGAUUUUGCAUAGAUGUUUUAUAUGGUAAUCAAAAGUCAGCUGAGGGUCAAAGCUAACACCCAGGUUAGUGACUGAGGAGGAAAAGGGGAUGUCCUGGCUGUCAAAGGUGUGAUGAGGUAUGAAGGAUGACUGAAUCUGGUGUGGAGUGCCAAUAAGGAGAGCUUCAGUUUUGCUGCUGUUAAACUGGAGGAAAUGUGUGCUUAUCCAAGCCUUUAUCUCCUUAAGACAGGUGCUGAAGUGUGACAUGGCUGACAAGGGCUUGGGGCAGUUUUGAUGUACAGCUGGGUAUCAUCAGCAUAGCAAUGAAAAGACAUCACAUGUCUGCUGAUGACAUGUUCAAGGGGGAGCAUUUAGGGCUAGGGUCACACUCAGCCUGAAGCUAAGAAGCAACCACCUUCUCUAACACCUUGGACAGGAAAGGGAGGUUGGAGCUAGCAAGAACUUCUGGGUCCAAGGUAGGCUUCUUGAGGUGGGGGCGGAUGACGGCAACCUUGAGGUUAGAUGAAACACUACCAGUUUGAAGGGAGAGGUUGACAGUUUUGGUGAUUAGGGGGCUGAGAACGGGGAUGUAUUAUUUGAGCAGAGCUCUGGCAAUGGGGCCCAGGGCACAAGUACAGGGUUUCAUCUUCCUGAGGAUUUCAUCAAUGUGGCUCUAUCCGACGCCAGUAAAAUAGAGUAGAGAUGGCGAGCUCCCAGACAGAGGGUCGAUGACAGGAGGAGGCAGAGAGGAAGAGCUGGACAUCAGAGAGCGGAUGUUGUUGACCUUGGCUUUGAAAAAGUUAAUGAAGCUGUUAUAUCUUCUUCUGUAGCCUCAAUUGGGGAAGAUGAUUGUGGCUUCAGGAGAUGAUUUAUGGUGGAACAAAGACGCUUAGGGUUGCCAAGGUUGUUAUUAAUUAGGUUGGAAUAGAACUGUGACUGAGCACUUUUAAGGGACUUUGAGUGAGUCCAUUGAUGUUCACAGACAGCAAGCCCAGAGCGUUUGGAGCGCCGUUCCUGGACACAUCCAGCUGUUUUUAUUUUCUGAAGGUCAUGAAUGAGUGUGAAAAAUUGACCUCAGUGAUGACCAAGUCAAGUGUGUGCCCCAUGGUGUUUUGCAUCUCGCCUGGUAUAGGGUAGUCUUGCAAUGUUUCCAACGAUGACACCCGAGUUUGUUUUGUUUCCGUAUUCCAUACUGAAACCAUGGUGCAAGUUUUAAAAAACCAUUGUCAAAUGUAAUUAGGAAGCUGCGUAAACUCUGUAGCUGUGUGGCAGUGUAGGACAUCAUAAUUAAAGCAGUUGCAUUGUUUAAGCAGAAUGGCAGCAUUGGUAACAACUGCAGUCACAGUCACACAGUGGAGAUCAUUACAGCAAACAUCAGGGGAGCUCCAGUUGAAGAAAAACCCCAGUCACUAGAGUCUGUCAAUGACAGUGCUGCUUCUGCACUGAUAGAGUGUGCAGGGGAGCCAGACGGGGCUUUGUGGCACACCUGAGGCGGCAGGCUGGAGGAAGAGACAGCCGCUGUCCUCCAGAGAAAAGGGAUCCCAGUAGAGCAGGUAUUUCAAAGCCUCUGCCUGUAAAAUAUCAACAUUUUUGAAAGUCAGAUGAACACCAUUUAUCAACACUACACAACACUGGGAAUCCUUGGAACUCAUCAUUGACAGGAACAAUGCAGCGUUGACAACUACAGGUAGCAGAAACAGCAGUAUUUCUGCAUCUACACUGGAUCAACCCAGGGCUUGUUUAUGCGUCACGCAUUCUUGUGUUGCACAAGCUGCAAUUUCUACAAGCAGAUGGAUGGACAAAGCUACUGAAUUUUGUGGACUUGUUUUGUCCUCUAGUCUAACAUCUGUUCAUUUUAUCCCUCAGCUCAUUGCAUGUCUGUUAAGAUUGAAUGCUUAAGCUUUACGGUGGCAGCAAGUUGGGGGUUGUAUAUACUUUUUUGUUACCAUUAAACCCGUCUCAAUAAAUGUGGUAAAUCCUUAAACAUAAUCCCAAGAAGACUCUAAACUGUACUGUAGAUUUCCAGCAGUGAAGUGCUACAACAUUGCACAACUGGUUUUAGCAGAGCUUGUGGCUUAUGCAGUUUGAUCAUUUGUGAGUCAUAAGAUGUAGUUUGUAUAUUUUUCAAACAGAAUCUGGGAAAAUGUAACCUAACGCCUCGAUUCUUAUUCUCCAUAUUGCUUUUCUGCGUCUGGCACACACUCUUCUUCUGCCACCAUGUCCCUCCUCAUGCUUCC